ACCUUCUCAAGAUUGCACCUGGAGAGUUUCCAUUACUCUACCAGUCUUAGCUAAGGGAGGGAGAGUCAAGCAGAGGCAGACCCAUUCCAUUCCUAGCUUGGGCAGUGGCUAGAGAGCAGAAGACUAUCUGCUACAAGU